ACAUAUCCUAGAGCCUAAUUCAUUACAUUUUAAUAAAUAUAAUUACUAACAAAUCCUAAAAAAAUAAAUUUUACAAAUUUAAAUUUGUAAAUGUAGCCCAUCUCUACUUUUAAAAGCUGCACCUUGAUUUGAUUUAAGAUAAAAUUUUAUAUAAAGAAAAUUAUAAUUCUUUAGAAAUACUCAUUUUAACAACGAUAUACAAGCAAUAAUAAAAGUAAAAUAAAUCGUGAAUUAUCAAUUAUAGGACAGGCUCCUCUGAAAGGUUGGGAUACCGCCAAGAUAUUUAAUUUUCAAGCACUUAACUAAUACUAAUCCGGUCUUUAUUAUUACAGUUUGAAUAACAGGGUAUCUAAUCCUGGUUUAUAAACAAAACUUUCCUAGAUCAUUUAAUCUAUAAUUUUAAUUUUUAUACUAAAAUUCCACCUCUCAAUAUAAAUUUUAAAAAUUAAAAAAUAAUUAACUAAAACCACUAAAAUUAAGUAACUCUUUUUGUAUAACCGCA
rnacentral:rRNA from 1 species